GGGGGGGGGGGGGGGGGGGGGGGGGGGGGGGGGGGCGGGGGGGGGGGGGGGGGGGUGGUGGGGUGCUGGGGGGGCGAAGGGGUGAGUAGCACGGGAGUGACCUGCCCUUGGCGUUGGGAUGACUGCAGGAAACGGGGGCGAAUACCGGAUAGGAGCUCCUGCGGCAGGGUGGGGGGUGGAAAGUUUCGGCGGUUGGGGAUGGACUCGCGGCUUAUCAGCUUGUUGGUGGGGUAGUGGCUUACCAAGGCUUUGACGGGUAGCCGGCCUGAGAGGGUGACCGGCCCCAUUGGGACUGAGAUACGGCCCAGACUCCUACGGGAGGCAGCAGUGGGGAAUAUUGCACAAUGGGCGGAAGCCUGAUGCAGCAACGCCGCGUGCGGGAUGACGGCCUUCGGGUUGUAAACCGCUUUCGCCUGUGACGAAGCGUGAGUGACGGUAAUGGGUAAAGAAGCACCGGCUAACUACGUG
rnacentral:rRNA from 1 species